rnacentral:tRNA from 1 species
UCCCAUAGACUAGGAUAGCUCAGUCAGUAGAGCAUGAGACUCUUAGUCUCAGGGCUGUGAGUUUGAGUCCCACAUUGGGUGGAAA